UUUUUCCUGUGCCAUAUAGACCAGAACACAGCUAAUUCCAUGCGUAGCGCCAUAUUGGCAUCGCGCGUAGCGCCAUCUAUCGUACACGCUACGAAACAACAUGCCCGAGCUGCCAUGGCAGCAGACACU
rnacentral:lncRNA from 1 species